rnacentral:rRNA from 1 species
AUAUUACUAAGCGCAGGAAAAGAAAACAACAGUGAUUUCCCUAGUAACGGCGAGUGAACAGGAAACAGCCCAAGAUUGAAUCCGUGGUGGAAGGAACCUGAAGCCAUGGAAUUGUAGUCCAGGGGAGUGAGGCAAGGGUUGAGGGUGUGGUUGAAUUGUCUGAAAAGGCAAAUCCACAGAGGGUUAUCGUCCCAUACGUGCCACACGACCUCGAUCUUUAACGCUUCUCUCUUCCAAGAGUCGUACAGUUUGGGAAUGCUGUGCAAAAUCGCUGGUGUGCUUCAGCGAAGGCUAAAUAUUGCUUCGAGACCGAUAGCGAACAAGUAGUGUGAACGAAAGAUGAAAAGAACUUUGAAAAGAGAGUGAAAAGUACUUGAAAUCGUCCAGUGCCAAGGGUAUAGGAAACUUGUUUUCCAGUCUUUUGGAUUGGUUUUGAUCGGACAGGUUGGCCUCUUCCGGUGGUCCGCCGAGCAUUCCAUUUCGAUGGCGUGUCAGCGAGGCCGAUACGGUAAGUGGGUCGACUGGUCGAUGCCUGCUUCGCUCGGAUGCCGCAGUGUAUGGUAGGUGUGCGGGAGCAUCUGCUUCUUCGG